UACGUAGGUGGCAAGCGUUGUCCGGAAUUAUUGGGCGUAAAGCGCGCGCAGGCGGUCUCUUAAGUCUGAUGUGAAAGUCCACGGCUCAACCGUGGAGGGUCAUUGGAAACUGGGAGACUUGAGUGCAGAAGAGGAGAGCGGAAUUCCACGUGUAGCGGUGAAAUGCGUAGAGAUGUGGAGGAACACCAGUGGCGAAGGCGGCUCUCUGGUCUGUAACUGACGCUGAGGCGCGAAAGCGUGGGGAGCGAACAGG
rnacentral:rRNA from 1 species